AAGGCUUUUGAUGAUGAUAGUAGAGACUUUCUCAUAGAUCUAAAAAUAGGAUCAAUUUCUGUGUGAAACAUGGAAGUACACGGAGAGCUUUAAAACAUCGCUGGUGUGCUUGUUUGAGUGCUGUGUGUGUGUUGGGAAGAAGAAUUGAAGCAAAUAAAAAAAAAUAUGUUGGGGAGACUUAAAAUAGAAUUAAAUUAAAUACUCCUUUGGCGCAUGCCUGUUGCGGGGAGGCUCUUAUGCCCCCCUUCUCUCCGCAUGUCUCUCUCGCAUACAAUGAGACAAGGUAUGUCGAGAGUUCAGUUGGUUACCUGGUCAGAGGCAGUUUAGAUGGCAUUUCCUUGUGCGGCCGUGACAAUUUUAUUUGGAAGCUUUUUUUUUCAACACACAGAAAACACGCAAACUUACAACAAGAAAAAACGGCCAAGAAAAGCUUUUUAAACUUCUAUUUUUUAAAUAAAAUUUAUUAAGUUUCUAUGGAGUGUCUUUUAGUGAUGAAUUAAUUAUUUUAAAAAAAAUUGAAUAAAAUGUGAAAAACAAUUAAAAAACUUUGUGUUAGUGAAGGAAAAAUCAAUCAGAGGGAAGCUUUCUUUCUUUUAAGUGAAUUUAAUUGAAUUAAGGGGUUGAUUCUGUUGAGAAAUUAUUCAAUUUCUUACAAUUAAUUGAUUUUAAAUCUCUUUUAAAUGUAUUCUGUGAAAAAUAUUUGAAAUAAUUAACAGUUCUAAAAUUUUAGUACUCAGCAUAGACACCUUUUUUUGUACAAUAAAAGAGAAGUUUUAAUACUUUUUUUUUAGACAGAAAAGAAAAUUUCUCAAACAGAAUCAACCCCACAAAUCAAAUUAAAUUUUCUUCAAUGCAAAAUGGAUGCAAAAGUUAGUGAAUGAAGCGCCAAAGCAAGGAGAGAGAUAGAGAACGCAUGGAGUCAGUGGAUGAAGGAGAAAACAUGACAAUCCUGUUCUAAAUUUUCUUUCUAUGAUAACUGAUUACUCAUUCAUCAACAAAAUCUCAUCACUUGGCGUCUCAACAGUGUUAAUCAUCAACGUCUGUGUGCCAAAUUGAGCGGCCUUUUUGCCCCAGAGAGACUUUUUUCUUCAUCAUCUUAAUCAUUUAAUUUUAAAAAUAAAAUUUUGUACAAUAAGACAAAACAAUUCCUCUGUAACUUAUUCAUGAAUCAAUAAAUAGAAUUUUUCUUUUUAUUCUUCCCUCCGUG